ACGUAGGGGGCAAGCGUUAUCCGGAUUUACUGGGUGUAAAGGGAGCGUAGACGGUAAAGCAAGUCUGAAGUGAAAGCCCGCGGCUCAACUGCGGGACUGCUUUGGAAACUGUUUAACUGGAGUGUCGGAGAGGUAAGUGGAAUUCCUAGUGUAGCGGUGAAAUGCGUAGAUAUUAGGAGGAACACCAGUGGCGAAGGCGACUUACUGGACGAUAACUGACGUUGAGGCUCGAAAGCGUGGGGAGCAAACAG
rnacentral:rRNA from 1 species